UACGUAGGCAGCGAGCGUUGUUCGGAGUUACUGGGCGUAAAGAGUGCGUAGGCGGUUUUCUAAGGUUGGUGUGAAAUCUCCCGGCUUAACUGGGAGGGUGCGCCGAAGACUGGAAGGCUUGAGUAUGGGAGAGGUAAGCGGAAUUCCUGGUGUAGCGGUGAAAUGCGUAGAUAUCAGGAGGAACACCUGCGGUGUAGACGGCUUACUGGACCAUCACUGACGCUGAGGCACGAAAGCGUGGGUAGCAAACAGG
rnacentral:rRNA from 1 species